UAGUGAUGAGAAAGGGUGGAGCUGAGUAUGCCACACAUGGAUAUGAUUAUUCCCCGUAUGUUCUUUUUGGCAAUCCACUUCAUCACUGACUCAUCUGUGUAUGGGUUCCAAAGUUUGGCCACAACUAGCUUGAUUCGGAGACAUUUCGUAUUAGGAGUUAAACUUUGGUUUGGAGGCAUUGAGCUUUGCCAGUAACUAGCUUUGUUACUUGGUAUACUUCUGUCAGCAUUCAGGAGCCCCGUAGUUGUGUAGCGGGUCGCGGGAGAGGCAGCCGGUGAGUGCGAGCUGGACGAGAAAGUGAUGCCUGCGAU